AUGCCUCCUGCCCAAAUAGCUGUCCAAAAACUUUCUGCCUUGGGCUAUAUGCCCAUAUUAUUUAUCAGCCAGAGGCACAAGGGCACAGGCAAGUUGAUGGCAGAUGUAGUCACGCAUCUGCCACCGACGCAAAACAACACUACGUUUACUAACCAGCAUGAAGGAAAUGUGUUAAUUACUUUGUUUCAUUUCAGGUCCAAAAACUUUCUGCCUUGGGCUAUAUGCCCAUAUUAUUUAUCAGCCAGAGGCACAAGGGCACAUCCAUCCAACCUCAACUAAAGAAAAGACAAAGUACCAUCCAUCCAACCUCAACUAAAGAAAAGACAAACCACAGGUAAAGGAGCCACACAAGCCCCACCCUCUACCCUGGCCAAAAAGAAGAAAACAAAAAGCAAGUAGACAUUCUUUGCACCCCAUGUGUAUAUUUGUUUCUAUUCUUUGCACCCCAUGUGUAUAUCAGCAGCCAUGUGUUGGGUGUAAAUGUGUUUUUGCAUGUAGCCCCCUUUAAUUGGACCAAACUCAGGGUGUAUUCACACUUGGUCUUUUUCAGCCCUCAAAGUGAACUAAGAACAGUGACUCAUAUAUGAACACCUCAAGCAAACUCAGACCCAUUUGAAAUGAACCAAACGUUUUUUUGCCUUUGUCAUUUAAGGUUGCAAAUGCAGUCGACAGACAAUUUAUCCAUACGAUAAAAUAUUGGAAAGACGGAUGAAUGGGGUAAGAUGUAGAACCAUAUUUUUCAUUAGGCUGUCUGAUUAUCUCUUGACUCAUGUCUGUCUCAUCUUUCAAUCCACAUGUGACAAAACAGUAACACUGAGCAGUAGGUAUCAAACUUUUUCAACUAUCAACCCUCUCACAAGUGCUACCCCUUAGGAAAAAAAAGUAUACUUCAAGUUAUUUUAUGAAGUAUACUUAAGUAAUGUUCAAGUAUAUUUUUAAGUAUACUUUAUGGAGUAAGUAUACUAGUAUCAAUGUGUACUAUUUCAAUACUGCUUGGGGCUAAAUUGGCCCACUUUUAGUAUAAAAGUAUAUGUUUAAGUGUACUAAAAGUGUAAACUUUAAGUACACAACUAGGUUUCUCAUUUUUAAUGCAUCUUUACUACAAGUGAACUUAUAAGUAUACUAGUAGUUUACUAUUUUAAUACAAGUAGUACAUUUUUUAGUUAGGAAAGUACACACUGAAGUGUACUCUCAGUAAACUGCUAGUUUAGAAGUUUAUACUGCAAGUAUACUUGUAAGUUUUCUUUAAGUGAACAUAACAUUAUACUAUUUAUAUAUUAUUUUGCUACUUGCUGUAUACUACUAUGUUCUUUAAGUGAACAUAACAUUAUACUAUUUAUAUAUUAUUUUGCACUUGCUGUAUACUACUAUGUUCAAAUGUAGAUAUUAUUUUUUAUACUUGAAAAAUACAUUUAACUGUACUUUAAUUUUAAUAACAUUUUAUUAGCUUCAUGCUUUCUUUUUUAUCAACACUUGUCGGUAAGUUUCAUAAAGGCAACAUUUUAAACAAAGAAGUUGAGAAAAUCACAUUUUUGUCAAAGACUGCGCCUUGAUCAGAUUCAGAACGGUGAUCAAAACACAGAUGGAGUAGAUCAAGUCCAACAACCCCAAAGCUUCACAGUCGUUUUCUCUUCAUGUGUUACGCUUCAUUUCAUUUGGUAAUAUUAAGCAUUUUUGAAUUACAAGCUGUUUAAUAUUUGAUGAUCACGUUAUUUUACAUUUGCGUGAGUAAUCUACUAUCACUUGGUUCAGCUUCUUCUUCUUCUGUGUUUUGAGUUUCUGUACUAGGAGAUGUGUCAUAGCGCAUCCUACCGUAUAACAGUGAAAACAUGGAUAGCUGGAAAAUUCAGUCAAUGGUGGGGAAAGAGUAAAGUAGAAUUAAAGUAAAUUCCGAUGUACCGAUGCCAGUGGACUAGCCUAGACAAAUUUCAGAUAUGCAGAAUUAGAAACAUAGCUGUUUUAUAUCAAUAUUCUAAACAAUAUUUUCACAAGUUUCAUAAGACUGUAUAUGAAACUAUGUAAAAAAAAGUUUAUUUAAUAGGCUACUCGAUCAAAACCGUU
rnacentral:lncRNA from 1 species